UACGGAGGGUGCAAGCGUUGUUCGGAAUCACUGGGCGCAAAGCGCGUGUAGGCGGCUUGGCAAGUCGAGUGUGAAAUCCCAGGGCUCAACCCUGGAACUGCACCCGAAACUGCCUCGCUGGAGUCCCGGAGAGGGUGGCGGAAUUUCCGGUGUAGAGGUGAAAUUCGUAGAUACCGGAUGGAACACCAGUGGCGAAGGCGGCCACCUGGACGGUGACUGACGCUGAGACGCGAAAGAGUGGGGAGCAAGCAGG
rnacentral:rRNA from 1 species